CUGACGAAUUCAGUGUGGUGAAGACUUGUUGAGCGGACGAGCAUAAAAGCCUGAAGAUUAUCAAAACAAAGGUGUAAAAUCAUCAACAGCGAACUUUUUAAAUCAUGUCUAAGGGGACAAAAAGGAAAGCGCAGACGAGCGCAGAAGGUACUGCGCCAGUGGAUCGCACUCAUCAGCCCCCACAGUCGAU